GAGACACCCUUUGGGGGCAAAACUUUCUUCAGUGGGGCUUUGGUGCUCACUGAGUCUGCCCCCUGAGUGUGUCCCU
rnacentral:pre_miRNA from 1 species